rnacentral:rRNA from 1 species
GACGAACGCUGGCGGCGUGCUUAACACAUGCAAGUCGAACGGAAAGGCCUCUUUCGGGGGGUACUCGAGUGGCGAACGGGUGAGUAACACGUGAGUAACCUGCCCUUGACUUUGGGAUAACUUCAGGAAACUGGGGCUAAUACCGGAUAGGAGCUCCUGCUGCAUGGUGGGGGUUGGAAAGUUUCGGCGGUUGGGGAUGGACUCGCGGCCUAUCAGCUUGUUGGUGGGGUAGUGGCUUACCAAGGCUUUGACGGGUAGCCGGCCUGAGAGGGUGACCGGCCACAUUGGGACUGAGGUACGGCCCAGACUCCUACGGGAGGCAGCAGUGGGGAAUAUUGCACAAUGGGUGGAAGCCUGAUGCAGCAACGCCGUGUGCGGGAUGACGGCCUUCGGGUUGUAAACCGCUUUCGCUCAUGACGAAGCUUUGUGUGACGGUAGUGGGUAAAGAAGCACCGGCUAACUACGUG